UGCUUGGGUAGCUCAGUUGGUAGAGCACUUGCCCGAGGAAGGCAAAGGUCCCGAGUUCGAGUCUCGGUCCGGCAC
rnacentral:tRNA from 1 species